rnacentral:rRNA from 1 species
AAAGCGCGCGUAGGUGGUUUGUUAAGUUGGAUGUGAAAUCCCCGGGCUCAACCUGGGAACUGCAUUCAAAACUGACUGACUAGAGUAUGGUAGAGGGUGGUGGAAUUUCCUGUGUAGCGGUGAAAUGCGUAGAUAUAGGAAGGAACACCAGUGGCGAAGGCGACCACCUGGACUAAUACUGACACUGAGGUGCGAAAGCGUGGGGAGCAAACAGGAUUAGAUACCCCAGU